GGAAUGUUGAUCCGCCUAACAUGCAAGAGCAAUCGUUUUGAGUCCUGAGACCCUGGGAUGACCACCGUGAACAAAUACAGAAGCACUCAAUUUGAGUCCUGAGACCCUGGGGUGACCACCGUGAACAAAUACAGACUGCAAAAAGGCAGUCUUGAUGGUACUAGGAUGAAUGCAAAUAAAGACUAACCACCUGACUUCAGCGGUCCAGUCUCUUGUGGGAAGCAGGUGCUUGUUACCCCAAAUACGGAUGAAGUGUGACGAAGAGGAUGAU